UUACUUUUUAAUAAAAUUACAUAAUUGUCAUCCACAUCAGCAAGUGGCAUAAUGUGUGUACAAAAGGAAUGGUCGAUCUAUCAUUUUCCAUUUAUAAUUCUUUUAAAAGCUUUAAGUUGGAGAAAUGACUUUUGUGGGCCUCACACAUUUCUUUUGUUUGCAUUCUCACGUUCAGCUGCAGCCGAUCGAGUGUAUCAUGUCAGAUGAGGAAAUAGAUGAAGUGCCCGAAACGGGAUAACGAUGCAGAUGCUACAUUCGUAGUAAAAAGCCCCACUAAGGAUUAUACGUCAUGGGAACGUGAUCCUAAAUACUUCGAGGCAAGUAAUGCUUUUGAUACAAGGUUCACAAAUUUAGUAGUUUCUAUGUGCAUAUUUGAAUUCUUUAAGUAUAUCAAUCUCUAUACUUGCAGAAGGAAUAUGAAGUGAACAAGAAUAGCAAGGCCGCGAAGGCGUGAUAUAAUAGCACACUAUGAAAAUGAGCGAAACAAAGCUUUAGCUAAGCUGGAGGAGGAAGAUUCGGACGAUUUGGACAAUGACUGGUUCGUGGCAAGGCCUUUAGCUAACCAGAAGAAGGAAAAUUCGGAGGCUGACAGGGCAACUAAUAUGAGUCCUUUAGCUAAUCAGGAGGAGGAAGAUUCGGACGAUGACUGGUUCGUGGAAAGCCCUUUAGCUAACCAGAAGAAGGAAGAGUCGGAGGCUGAUAGGGCUGUGGCAACUGAUAAGGGCACAAGAGCUGAUAAAAGAAGAGGAAAAAAGAGAAAGAAUGAUGAUUAUUGAAUGUUGGAUUAGUUACUAAUAAAGUACUUUCAAUCAAAGGUUGGAGUCAUGUGUGUUAGUGGAUUGUUAUGCUGUGUGUUUGGUGGGCUCUAUGUUGGAUUGUACUUCUUGCAUGUUUGUUAUUGUUAAUCUUAUGUAAUAUUAACUAGAUUCUGAUUUGUAUCCAACCAUAUCAGUUAUCAAGGAAUUGAAAGUCAGAAAUAGACUGUUUGUGUCUAAUUUUGUUUAAGGAAAUUGAU